UUCUGCUCCGUUAAUUGGAUCUCUAAACAAAGUUUCAGCAUGCCAACUUCCUCAGCCCACUUCUCGAUCUUCUCUCUUCAGCAUCCUCUUCAAUCUUAUCUUCGCUGUUCUUAUUAGACGCCAUAAACAAACACCCCCUAAAUGAUUAUUACUUCGGUUUAGCGCCGUUUCAUUUCACUCUCUCAAAGCCCUCAGUCACUCUCGCCUCUCGGAGAUCACACUUCGCCUCCUCUCAGUCUGCUGGUCGUUGCCGUCGGUCCGUUCAAUUAGUGGUGCGUCGCAGGCUCGCAGCGUCGGUCGUCGGCAAAAAUGUUUUGCUAUGUCCUAUAAAUUCGUCGACGAUUCAGUCUGAGACUCCAAGUGUUCGACUCCGACAGACAGUGGCUCAGCGUUCGCCUUUCAGGUUUUGUGGGCAUUUUCUAUAUACUUGGAAGCUGUUGCUAUUCUUCCGCAGCUUGAAGAAGUGGAAACGUCCAUAGCUUGACAUCUCAAUACGUUUUCUUUCUUGGGUUUUGUGGGCAUUUUCUAUAUACUUGGAAGCUGUUGCUAUUCUUCCGCAGCUUGAAGAAGUGGAAACGUCCAUAGCUUGACAUCUCAAUACGUUUUCUUUCUUGGGUUUUGUGGGCAUUUUCAUAUACUUGGAAGCUGUUGCUAUUCUUCCGCAGCUUGAAGAAUGGAAACGUCCAUAGCUUGACAUCUCAAUACGUUUUCUUUCUUGGGUUUUGUGGGCAUUUUCUAUAUACUUGGAAGGUGUUGCUAUUCUUCCCCAGCUUGAAGAACUGGAAACGUCGAUAACUUGACAUCUCAAUACGUUUUCUUUCUUGGGUUUUGUGGUUCUGUAUACUUGGAAGCUGUUAUAUUCUUCCCCACCUUGAAGAAGUGGAAACGUCGAUGACUUGACAUCUCAAUACGUUUCCUUUCUUGGAUCAGUGAGCUUAAAACUCCAAUUACAAGCUACACUUUUGCUUUUCUUAAUAAGUGGAUUUUUCUAAGCAUCUGGUUUUGUGGGCAUUUCUAUGGCUAUUAAUCAACCCGAUAGCAUAGUUUUGCUCCAAAGCACCUACUUAAGUAGGUUGUUGGAGAGAUUCACGACCUCUCUGACUAACCCAGAUGGUACCAAAUACUAUGAUUUGGUACCCUGGUUCCACUGGGCACGUGCGGCCAGUCUGCCUCCGGAUUACGGUAUGCAAUUGGAUGAAAAUCCAGUGCAAAAGCCAGUGAACCAAAAGGGAGAAUUUUGUGAGUACAACAAACUCACCUAAUCACUGAGUGCAAGAAGCUCAUGGAUGGGAGAAGCACCUUAUUUUCAAUAAGCCAUCUCACGGAAAGAUCAAUUCCCCAAGUCAAUUAUGUGAAUGUAGAUAUUGCAUGCGUUCUCAUAAAUUAGCAAAGCUAUUCUACAAGGAGGUGACUAAUUUUUUUUAUUGGUGGGUUCAACAAACCCACCUUAUCCAUGUUGGAUCCGCCACUGAGUGCAAGAAACUCAUGGAAGGGAGAAGCACCUUAUUUUGAAUAAGCCAUCUAAUGGAAAGAUCAAUUCCUCAAUUCAAUUAUGUGAAUGUGGAUAUUGUCAUGCGUUCUCAUAAAUUAGCAAAGCUAUUCUACAAGGAGGUGACAACAUGGAAGAUGAAAUUAUGAAAGAUACACAAAUUUAAGCCAUAGUCAUCAACAGCCUAAAGAUAAGCUAAAGAAUUACAAUGAGACGCAUGUUUUUUGCAAAUAUUCUUCGGUGCUAGGAGAUUCGAGUUGUUUAUUUUGGUCAUAGAAGGGUUUGGCAUAAGUGUGAACAAGGAUAUCCCAUGUUCUUUAGAGGUGUAAGCAAUAGAGAUUAGGGGGUCAAAAGGGUUGGAGAUAAAGUGCUGCGGCGAGCACCAAACAAAAGGUUGUCUCAGCGAACCCAAGUAACAUGCAUGAGCAGGGUUGGGGAUAGAGUCAUCUUCCUCGUUGGUAAUUUUUUUUUAUAAGUUCCCCAUUGGUAAUUUUGAGACUAGAAAAAAAUUAUAAAAUUGUUUUUAUUUUUAUGUUGUAUUGUAUACUAUUAAAAGAUUGUUAUUGCAUUUGAAUUUCAAUAUUCAAUUACUAGUUAGUGUUAUACUCCCAA